UCGGACGUGGUGUAUGGCGCACACCCGCUUUCUAUGUUGGAUGAAAAGAGAUGGUGUGUGGGGAGCCCGGGUUCGACUCCUGGCGUUCGAA